GAACAAGAAGAAGAAAGGGAAUAGGUAAAAUAUGUGAGUGAGUGUGUGUGUGUGAGAGAGAGAGAGAGAGAGAAAAGUUGGUUGAGAGAAAGGAAAGGGAAGGAGAGAGAAAAGUAAAAGAUAGUUGUAUUGUACAUAGGCAUGAAAUAUAGAAACAGUUUUUGUGUCCUUUCAUUUCGUUUCUUAUUCCACAUCCUUUGUUUCUUCUCUGUCUAUUUUCUAUAUUUGUGCAGCAGAUCUCUCCUUUGUGUAAUCCGUAAUUCUUGCCAGCAGUUUCCGGAAUUACUCAAUUAGAUCAUGUUUCGCCGCUGAAACCCAGCCAAAAUUUGGAAGAAGGGCUGCUGACUGAGGAGCUGGAAUAUGUGAAUUAGUUUCAAGGUUGUGAAUGUGAAGGGGAAAAUCAGACUCGACCUUUCCGCAGAUGAAUUCAGUUAGCCCAUAAAGUGAGACUUCGAAGAUCGUUGCUUGAUUACUUAGAAGAGGUUUGACUUUAGCAAGAACAUGGUUAAGGUUCAAGGAAGAAAAUCCAAGGUGUUUCUGUAGUUUUUGGGGUUGUACAAAGUUUUUAUCUUUGAGAGAUGGAAGAGGUAGGUGCCCGGAUAGUUGCUCCUACAGUCAUCCACCAGCAUCUGACUGCGAGAUUUUGUGAUCCAUAUCCGAUGGCUAAAAAACGCGCUCUGCCCUUUGACUCAUCGAGCUUUCUGCCACAGAAUACUGCAGAAAGUUGGAACCCCAAGUCCUGGAACUGGGAUAGUGCCAGGUUUGUCGCCAAACCAUUGCAACGCAAUGGAGGCCAAGUGGGGGGUGGCGAAGAGAUUCAGCCAGCCGUGCCAAGAAGAAAACAAGUGCUGAGUAGUGCUUCAUAUUCUAGGACUCCUGCAGUUUCUGGAGAAGUAGAUGAUAAUCUCGUACUGAAUCUUAGAGGUGGAGAUGGAGCUCGUAGUAGUGGUAAUACUGGUGGUGUCAAUUUGGUGGAGCCACAAACUGUAUCAAGGCCCAAUAAGAAAGUAAGAUCGGGAUCACCUGGUGGUACUAACUAUCCCAUGUGUCAAGUGGAUAAUUGCAAGGAAGAUCUGUCUACUGCUAAGGACUAUCACCGCCGGCAUAAGGUGUGUGAGGUUCACAGCAAAGCUGGCAAGGCCUUAAUCGGGAAUCAGAUGCAAAGGUUCUGCCAGCAAUGCAGCAGGUUCCACCCUCUUUCAGAAUUUGACGAGGGAAAGAGAAGUUGUAGGCGUAGGCUUGCUGGACAUAAUAGGAGGAGGAGGAAAACUCAGCCAGAAGAUACUACUCAACGGUUAUUAACUCCUGUUAUUGGUGAUAGCAAUGUCGGUGAUAAUGAUGUUCUGAAUUUACUGGCGGUGCUAACUAGUGCACAAGGGAACAUUGUGGACAGGAAUGAUAAAUUCCCAUUGAUACCCAACAAAGAUCAGCUCAUACAGAUACUGAGUAAAAUAAAUUCAUUGCAAUUGCCAGCAAACUUGGCAGCCAAGUUGAAUGGCAUUAACUCAAAUCAUAUAUCCUUGGAAAAUCAGAACCAGAUAAAUGGGAAUGCUUCUUCCGCAUCAACCAUGAACUUGCUUGCUGCUCUUUCAGCAACUGCAAGGGCACCUUCAUCUGAUGUAUUUGAAACUCAAUCUCAACCGAGCACUGAAGGAAGUGACUCUGAAAAAAGCAAGUCACCAUGUCCUGAAAAGCAUGGUGGAUCAACAAUGGAAUUUCAGGAGACCUCGCCAAGUGUGCCUCUUAAGCUGUUUAGUCCCUCACCUGAAGAUUAUAGGCCAAAAAAAUCGCCACCGGACAGAAAUUUUCUUUCAUCUGGCAGCAGUUAUCCUUCAGAUGAGACAUCACCUCUAUCUACGCCACCUGUUGUACAUGAUCUAUUCCCGAUGCAGACUUCAAGAGACACAGAUAAGAAUGACCAUCUGUCAAAUAGUGAAGGUGAAAUUGCCACGAUCAACGGGUGCAGUACAUCUCUUCAGCUUUUUGGAGUAUCGAUCAGUGGUACUGAAGAUGUUCCAGCUCAUACAUCUCCAUACAGAGCUGGAUAUACAUCUUCUUCCGCGUCUGAUCAUUCCAGCCAAAAUUCUGAUGCUCAGGAUCGUACUGGUAGAAUAAUUUUCAAAUUGUUUGACAAAGAUCCAAGCCAUAUGCCUGGGUCACUGCGGGACCAGAUAUACAAUUGGCUCUCUAACAGUCCAUCAGAAAUGGAAAGUUAUAUCAGGCCUGGUUGUAUUGUUCUAUCCCUUUAUUUAUCGAUGCCAUCAUUUGCCUGGGAUCAACUUGAAGAUAACCUUCUUAAUUAUGUGAAGUCUUUAGUCAAAGAUAUUGAUAUAGACUUCUGGGGGAAUGGGAGAUUUUUGAUUCAUACAGACAGACAAAUGGUUUCACAUAAAGAGGGGAAGAUUCGUCUAUGCAAAUCAUUGAGGGCCUGGAGUACACCAGAACUCAUCUCAGUGUCCCCUGUGGCAGUUGUUGGUGGGCAACAGACCACUCUUCUUUUGAGGGGAAGAAGUUUGAAGGCUCCAGGCACACGGAUACACUGCACGCAAGCAGUUGGAUAUAAUAUAAGGGAAGUUCAUUCAUCAUUGUGCCACAAGACUCCAUACGAUGAGAUUAUCUUGGCUGAUUUUAAGGUCAAUGGAGCAGCAUCUAAUGUGCUCGGGCGCUGUUUCAUUGAGGUCGAAAAUAGUCUCAGAGGGUCAAAUUUUCCAAUAAUUAUAGCAAAUAGCACCAUCUGCCAAGAAUUGAGACUCCUUGAGCCCGAGAUAAAUGGAACCUCUGAUAUAUGCAGUGAUAGUUCAACUGAUAAUAUUGAGAAAACAGCAUGGGUCCGAUCCAGGGAAGAAUCCCUGCAUUUUCUGGAUGAACUCGGAUGGUUGUUCCAAAGAAAAUAUAACUCAUGCUUGUUUGAGAUCCCAGAUUAUAGGCUCACUCGGUUCAAAUUUCUUCUUGUAUUUUCCGUCGAGCAUGACUUUUGUGCAUUGGUCAAAGCCCUCCUGGACAUUCUGCUAGAACUUAACUCCGGUAGAGAAGGAUUAGAAAAAGAAUCUCUGGAGUUGUUAUCAGAAAUUCACCUCUUGAACCGGGCUGUCAGAAGGAGUUGUGCCAGCAUGGUUGAUUUUCUCAUUCAUUACUCCAUCGUAGAUUCUAGUGGUACAUCUGAGAGGUUCAUUUUCGUUCCAAACAUGGCUGGGCCUGGUGGUCUCACACCUUUACAUUUGGCUGCUUCGGCAUCAUCAUCAGAUGAUAUCGUUGAUCUACUGACAAGCGAUCGACAGGAGGUUGGGCUGCAUAGUUGGAAUUCUGUUCUUGAUGCAAAUGGGCUUUCUCCUCAUGCAUAUGCCCUGAUGAGGAAUAACCAUUCGUACAACGCACUUGUUGCUCAGAAGCUUGCAGAUAAGAGCAAUGGUCAAGUCUCUGUAACAAUCGAGGAUGACAUAAAACACUUCCAGGUUGAGAUGGAUAAGGAAGGAAAUACUAAAUCGCACCUCAAUCGAGGUCAACAAUCUUGUUCCAGGUGUGCAUAUGGAUACAGCAAGAGGAUUCCAGGUUCCAAAGGAUUGCUGCAGCGUCCAUAUAUACACUCAAUGCUCGUCGUUGCUGCUGUUUGUGUUUGUGUGUGUUUGUUCUUAAGAGGACACCCCUUUGUUGGUCGUGUUUCUCCGUUUUCAUGGGAGAACCUGGAGUACGGCACAAUUUAACUACUGCAUCGACAGUGUUUAAUAAAUUCUGCAAACAAGGAGAAGUGUGUAUUAGAAGGCAUGAAUAACUCACUUGAGGAUGACAAUCAAUUGGUGGCAGCACAUCUGUUCAUCAAGUUCUUUGCUGACCAAGACGAAAGCGUGAUAUCUCCUAACCUGUUACAUGAAUUUUCUGAUAUCAGAGAGUGAAAAGCUUCAGCGCAAUAGCUAGAUUUCCCAGAGUUAAAUCCUUCAUCAAUCCAUUGAGUUCGAAGACUAAUAUGGAUCACUUUGAACGUACAAGAGUGGUGUGAUAUUCAUAACCUACUUCAAGGAGCAUAUUGGUUGAAUUUGAUACAAGGAGUCUGAAGCAUUGCAAGACUAUAUCCACUAAGCAGUUGCAGAGGCCAUUAUGAUGAGCAUGAGCAGAGAAGAGGAGAUAAUUAUACAUACAUUUGUUGCAGCAGGCAAAGAAUUGAGGGCUUCUCCCAUGCCUUCUCCGAGGCCUUCGAUGAGGCCUCCGAUGAACUCUAUGACGACCUGGGACGCCAGACGAGCUGCAGUCCCGAGGGCGCUGGGCCUCUCGGGCGGGGGUAUGCCGUUGGCUUCAAGGCCAUUGAUGAAAACCUUGGCACACACCGCAUGAAGAUGGUAUUCACACACCGUGCAGCGGUACAUUCUGCCCGAUCUCUUCUUGUUGCACUGCCCGCAGGCAGCCCCGUUGGCCGUGCCCGCCGCGGGCAGCAGCCUCAGCAUGUGCGGAUGAGCCGGGUAUUGCACCUCGGUGGUCAGCAUGGCGCAGCAAGGGUGCAUCUGGAAACUGCAAGCCCUGCACCGGAAGGCGAAGCCUCUGCUGGACUUGGCGCAGACGUCGCACCUCGGCCACGAGAUCCCGCCUUUUGCUGCAUCGUAUAAGGUGAGCUUGUGGUGAAAGGAUGGGGCCGGAGCCGGGGUUUGAGUUUUACGUACCCGACUUAGGUUUAGCAUGGAAGAUGAGCUGAUGCUGGCCGUGGAGAGGGUGGUUGUUCAACACAGGGGGGGAGGCGGCGCAGAAGUCGUGCAGCUGGAAGUCGCACUGCUGGCAGGCGAAUCUCCGGCCGGCCCCGUACUCCUUGCAUCCGCCGCAGGUGAAGAGCUCCGUGAGAGUGACUUGUACCAAUGGGUGCUUCGAGUGGGCGUAAUGCGUCAUCCCUUCUCCGGCAGCUGACUGCGGCGACGUCGGGAACUCCACCGGGGAGGAGGAAGGGAGAGAUGUUUGAGAUUUCAGGGAUGUUUUUCUUCUCAUUGUGUGUGUGUGUGUGUGUGUGUUGGAUAUGGCAGUGGGAGAAUAUUAUUUAUGCUGCGAAAAAAACAUCAAGUGCUUGCUUUAUCAAACAGGAGAAUGAGAAUGUAGUAUGAGAAUACUGCCUUUUGAAAAAUGAAAAUACAAAUGUUUUACGUAAUA